UGUUUCCCGGAGGGGAAACCAAGUAAGGACACGCAUUGUUCGUGAUUAUUUCAGCUGAUUGUUCCUGCCAAAUGUGAUGGUGCCGUUGGAGAUCCCACAAGCCUGGCAGGCAUCGUUGGC